CAGUCGCCACGGUAAUACGGAGGGUGCAAGCGUUAAUCGGAAUUACUGGGCGUAAAGCGUGCGUAGGCGGUUCGUUAAGUCUGUUGUGAAAGCCCCGGGCUCAACCUGGGAAUGGCAAUGGAUACUGGCGAGCUAGAGUGUGUCAGAGGAUGGUGGAAUUCCCGGUGUAGCGGUGAAAUGCGUAGAGAUCGGGAGGAACAUCAGUGGCGAAGGCGACCAUCUGGGACAACACUGACGCUGAGGCACGAAAGCGUGGGGAGCAAACAGGAUUAGAUACCCCUGUAGUCCCUGUCUCUUAUAC
rnacentral:rRNA from 1 species